rnacentral:lncRNA from 1 species
GUUGUUUAUUAGUGCUUGGUUGUUAUUCUAUUCAAAGUUAGCAGUAAAUUUCUGCCUUAUUAUUUUAACUUCUCUUUGGUCACUGUAUGUUGUCCAAUACUAUUUCUACUGGAGAAAAAACAAUAAAAAUCCAGUUUUGUUGUUGUAAAGGAUAUUUUAUGACUUAAUUUUUGUCAAAAGAUAAAUACACCUUCUUAAAAAAAAAAAAAAAAAAGAAUAAAAAAAAUGAUAACUAUAGAAAUAGAAGAAUUAUCAAAAAGAAAAGAAAAGUAUAUGUCAUUUUAUAGUACCAGUAUAUUGGCCUAGUUUUAAUCUAAUAAUGAAUAUGCUUUUACCUUUUAAAGCAAAAAGAAAGAAUAUUGUUUUGUUAAGAUUAUUUACUGCUGAGUAUAUGUUUGACAUUUUUCUAGAAAAACAAGAUUACAUCAAAAUUCAUUAAUAACAUUCAAAUAUCAAAAGUGUUUGACACGAUGAUCUCUAUAGGAUAUAGAGUGAAUGAGUUUUUUUCCCUUUUAAAGGAAUUAUAUUACAUCCAUUUUAAAUAUACCUAGUUGCUUUCGUAAGAUAGAUAGGAAAACAGGAUGCCUAUAGAAAUUCCUAAAACAUGCAAUGAAAUUAAUCUUUUUUUUACGUAUAGUUAUGAAACCAUUUGGGAAUGUAUUUUCUCUAAAUCCCUGUAUUAUAACAUGCACCAAUUUUCUGUUUUAUGUAUAUGUGAAGUUUUCAUGAACACAAAAAAUGUUUAUAUAUAUAUAUAACCCUGUAUAGAUGUAUUAUCUAUUGGUUCUGCUUCAUCAAAAAGUGGCUGUGUUAAACUGAAAUAGGAAAACAAUGAUCUGUGAUAGUCUGCUGCCAAAGGGAGAUAAUUGUUGUUUUAUGUAAAAAGUCAUAAAAAAAGUGAAAAAAAAAAAAUGAUAAAAAAUACAAGUAAAAAUAAGAUUGAUAUACUAUAAAAGAUUGAUAAAAUAAAAAUAAAGAAUGAGAAAAAAGAUACAAUAUCUAACAUGGAAAUAAAAUUCACAAAUAAGUGUAUAAUUAACAUAAUAAAAAUAUUAGUGGAACCAAAUUUAAGGGACUGCCUUAUUAUGAAAAAUCAAGACUUUUUUUGCUGCUAAUAGAGAAUUUCAAAUUUUGUCGAUACAUUCCUUGGAGGUUAUAGACAUGUUUGUUAGACAGACUGACUGUAAAUAAAUAGCAAAUUGUCAAAUUGAAAGAAAUUUGAUUUAUAUAAACUACUCUGCCUCAUGUCAAUAGAUUUUAAAGCGGUUCAAAUGAACAAAACAAAAAUGGUAUCAAUGAAAUUUAUAUGCAACAAAAAAAUGAAAAUGACUUUUUAUGAUAAUAAUGAUUACUCCCUUCAAGCAGAAGAUUCUGUUUCAGUCAUACUCUGUAUGGAGAUGACUGGCUCAUCGGGAGCUGUGAUUUAUAAGUACACUUGUACCCCCACACAUGUUUCAUGUUUAUUUUGCACUAUUUGUCAAAUUUCUGUUUGAUUCACAAGCAGUGUAUUGUAAUUGGUGUAUAUCCUUAACCUUAUCCAAACUUUGGAAAGAAGAAAUAUUUAAUAUAAGUUUAAUUCAAAUAUAGAGAUACAUUUAUUAGAUUAUAGAUUAAUAAUAUUUAAAAAAAAAUUGGAUAGAAUUGUAGUAUGGUUAUAAGGUUAAGAUUAUUAUUCAUGGGAGGGUAUUUUAAUCAAGACUUUUAAAAUCAUUUUGUAUGAAUUUUAAUUACAUUUCUAAAAUUAUUUUUAAAACACUAUUAGACCUUUAUAAUACGGUAAAUAAAACAAAGAUGUUAAAUGUAAUGUUCACUUUUAUAUCUUUUAUUUCUUCACAACUAUCAAAUAUUAAUCAUCUUUUUAUCAUAUCUCAUUAUUAACACGUCAUUGUAUAAGAAU